AGGUUCAGAGCAUGGAGGCGCUGCCGAGUGGGCUGUGUUGGGGCGUCAGGGGUGUGUGUUGUUUCUGCGGGAAAGAGAGGGUUUUGUGAAUUCUCGCUUGGAAUGGCAACCUGAGCAGCCAGUAACCAUGGAAGAAUGGAGUUGGGGAAGUCAGCAUAAAGAGCAGAUUUCCGGGAGAAGAUCACAGGUUGGAUUUUGGACAUGGUGAUUCUCAAAUGUCUCAAGAUGGAUAUGUCACACAGACAGGUGGACAUAAAGGUGGGCUCUGUGUUGAGAGAACAGGGGGCUGAGACUUGGGGGCCAGACCAUUGGUGGCUCCACAGACAUCAUACUCUGUCCAGAACGGUGCAGACCUGGCAUAACAGGGAUUCUGGAUUGCAUCUGUAAAAAGGGAGGCCUGGACUGGGGUCCCCUGGCGAUGGCAGAAAUGGACCCUACACAGGGCCGUGUGGUCUUUGAGGACGUGGCCAUAUAUUUCUCCCAGGAGGAGUGGGGGCACCUUGAUGAGGCUCAGAGAUUGCUGUACCGUGAUGUGAUGCUGGAGAAUUUGGC
rnacentral:lncRNA from 10 species